GACCGGACCGGACCGGACCGGACCGGACCGGACCUCGCCGGCGGGACGCGGCGAGCGGAGCCGUCCCGGUGCGCAACGAGUCGGCGCCGCCGCUGGCCCCCUCGCCGCGGCCCGGGUGGUGGUGGUGGUGGGGGCACGCGUUAGGCCGGGCCUGCUGCGUGGUUCGGUGUCAGUUCGUCGCUCUGAGCAAGUGUCGGAGAGUAGUCAUGGGGACUGUUCUACUUGCAGCAAUGUUUUGAUCAAUCAUCUGAGAAAAGAUCCUGGAGAGAUGAGGCAGCGUAUCUCCUAUUUCUGAUGUCAGGCUUUGUUCUGUGAAACUGACCUUUAAAACAACCUAAAAAUGAGGAAUGUGGCACCAGAGAGCAGAUCAGGAAGCAUGAAAUGAUAGAUGAACUUAGCACUGGAAGGUGGAAGAGGUAUCAGACAGUAACACAAUUGGAUGCCACCCAGCUCAAACGGGGAUGCAGGUGUCACUGGGACAGCUCAUGAUAGAGCGUAGCAGAAGGAGUAACAGAAACAGAUCAAAAACUACAGCAGCAAAAAGUACAUCUUCAGUCCCUUCAAAGACCUUUGGAAGGCUGCUGAUGCAUGCCUGGUGUAUCCCCAAAUACUGUGAUUGUUCCCGCUGUUUCUGCAAAGGAGACCAAAACCAAUUUUGCUACAAAAGGGAGACGAUGUUAAUAUCGUGUACCUGGCUCAAGUCCAGAUCAUCCAUCAACACUCUGUUGUCCUCUAGCUCACCAUUGUCAUGUUCUACCUGGAACAAGCUUUGGAGAGGAGUCACUGCCGAACAAAUAAUACGCACCUGAGAGAGGAAAAACAGGCAACAAUACGAUCACCUGUGUUUUACGCAUAAGGGAUAAAAUGCAUCUUUUAUGAAAAGCAAACUUCAGUUUAUGACCUUGUUUUUUCCCAGCUCCCCUUCUGUUACUAUGGGCUUCACAGCUAGAAACCAAAUGGCUACCAGCAACAGUUUCACAUAUAACCUCUGAAAAGUCUCAUGUGAAUGCAGAGUAGCUGAACUUGCAAUGUUUCGAUGAAAUAAAGCAAGAAAAGGUUCAAGGAAGUCUGAAGCGACUGCUGGAUGGAAACAUUACGGAGAAAACCCACCAAAUAUCCCAGUAUCAGAUACAGAUUAUAGCUAGCUGGACAAUAAUCAUAUCAAAUGCAAAAAAAAGGGGGGCGGGAGGGAAGCACUAAAACCAACAUAUACGAAGAUACUCCUGGAGAUUUUAAGAUUACCUGCAAAAAAAGGACUUAGGUAAUGAUAAUUUUUAUUCUAUAUUUAGCACUGAACUACUGUUAAGUACAGAGAAGAUCAAGUAUGUCUGUAUGCAGGGUACCUGGAAGGGACAAGAGCAGCAACCUGAUUGCGUGUAAGAGGAGAAAUAAUUUCUUUUGUCUCUCUUCAGGUAUGAGAUUAUCAACAUCCCUGUUAGUCAGGUUCAUUCUUUUAUCACAUGAUGAGGCCAAGCACUCUUCUACCAAAGCUCAAAACUCUGAGGAAUUAUUAUUCCUCUGUGCCACAAACCACACUUCUGAAUCCCCCCCUCACUGCAAAUACAGAGUCUCAAAUAUUAAAAACCAGUUUGUAAAAGGAAAAAAAAAUAAUGUUUCAAAUGUUUGCAAAUCCACAAAAUCCACCCAGCCCCAGAGCUGUACACCUUCAUAAAACCACAAGAACUUUCUGUGCACCUUGGUGGGUAUCAGACAUGAAAAUGAAAACUAUGAGGUGAGAUGGGGGCUUUGGAAGAUAAAAAUCAGGCUAAUAUAUUUCAAAUGUGAAAAAAUGAAGAAUUAAUACUUCUUUGGGUUCUUAUAUGGAUAUAAAAACAGAGGGUUACAGUUUGCCUCCUCAUCACAGCCAAACAAGAAUUCAAACUACUUCAGCAGUGCAAAAGACAGGCAUUUCAAAAUUCCUUAAAUUAAACAUGUACAAAACACAUCAUUUUGAGCUGUUUAACAAGAAUUCUGAACUCUCUAAGCCAAAUCUUCCAAAUCUUAAGUAAUAAUAUUUUGUCAAUGUUGACAGAAAAAUGUCUUUGAAGACAUUAUCGUAGGAAAGAUCUGAGCCUAACAGCCAUGACUAUUUUGAUAGAGUAAGUUUGUACAUCCCUGCCAAGACUCAAGCCCAGUGAAAAACAACCAAAACUCAGUCUGUUAUAUUUGGCUCAGGUGGCUGCAGUUGUUGUUCUCUACAUGCAAGAGUUUUCAGAUCUUCUAGAGUGUAAAAAGACAUGACCAUGGAGAUCAAGACAAAAGUUUUUAACCUUGCUUUUAACAGUGACUUGCUCUGAUCUUGGAGAAGCUAUUUAAUUUCCUUCCGCCUUAUUCUCCUUUGUAAAAAGCAGCAACAAUUACCAAGUUUGCGAACGUUCUGGGGACAGUUUAAAUCCUGUUUGUAUUCCUCUGACCUUGGUAAGGGCCCAGUUUCCAUGCUGCUCCCAAUUGCUCAGAAGCUCUUCCAACUGGCCCUUAAUGGUCAAAGCACUCCAAGCACGGGCGAGGGUGACAUGGGGGCACUCAGGCGGCUUCUCCUCAAGUCACCUCCUCCCUAGCCUGUUCCACUCGCAGCACUGGCAAAAGGCUGGCACCAGCACUCACGCACUGACUCUGGGCAACAGGGUAAUACCAGCGCCAGAGAAAAUAGGUUCAAGGCCAAACCACUCCAGCACCAGAGAUUCAGGCUGUAUGCUCCACAUACAGAAGCUCCAUUUAGGAGCAAAGUUCCACUAUUUCACCAGCCAGCCCACCCCUCCCCGGUUAAAUGUGCUGUCAAAAUAGCCUCACCUCUCUGGAGUAUUGUCUACAGGCCUUUCCCCCCCUCACGUUGCAGCAAGACACGCAGCACUGGCUGCGUCCUGACUUCCAAAAACAUAGGCUCGGACAAGAUGACAAGACCGGCAGCAAGUGAUUUUUAAAAAUUUACUAAUACCCUCUGUAUAAUUCUCUGGGAUUGCAGAUUAUUUUAUGAACCUUAAUCACAAAGUACUCCAUUUUAGUCAGUAGCAUAUAUGAAGGCAUUGCUUCCUCUGAAGUUACAAAUGAAGCUGCAAAUCCCGGUAUUGAUGAUACAGGAAAUCCUCGUACUAAAAUUUUAGCCUGAUUAAUCUGGUUCUAUGAACAACAUUCUAAAAAUAGCUUCAUUUGUUUGAUGUGUGUUUGUGGCAGUCUGAUCUUUUUUCUUUUCAUCAAUUAUUGAUCAAAACUGAACUUCAGAACCACAACACACUUAAGUAACAACUGUCCCUUAUUGUCUGAUACCAGCUCUUUCAUAAGCUGCACAAAUCUUUUGCAAUAAACAUUAACAGAAAAAUCUUAUGUAUUAUUCUUCCUGUAUUUAAAAAUGUGUAGAUAAGGUAAAGCUGUUGAAGUUUUUUGUCAUUAACUCCGAUGCCAGGAGUCAGUAUUUUAUAGGCAUCAUACUAAUGCAAAAUGCAUUAGCACUAACACGGGCUACCCUCCUGACAAAAGUGUUUAGUCCACUUCAGCUUGCCUGACUGAGUUCUCACCUUCAUUUGUUUUUGUUUCUCUGUCUACUUAACGCAUUUUCAG